rnacentral:miRNA from 1 species
AAUGACGAGUGCAGAUGGUGAGA